rnacentral:rRNA from 1 species
CACGCCGUAACGAUGAGUGCUAGAUGUUGGGAGACUUAGUCUCUCAGUGUCGCAGCUAACGCAUUAAGCACUCCGCCUGGGGAGUACGGCCGCAAGGUUAAAACUCAAAGGAAUUGACGGGGGCCCGCACAAGCGGUGGAGCAUGUGGUUCAAUUCGACGCAACGCGAAGAACCUUACCAGGCCUUGACAUGGGGAGUAUGGGUUUCCGAAAGGAGAUCCUUCAGUUCGGCUGGCUCCCACACAGGUGCUGCAUGGCUGUCAACAGCUCGUGUCGUGAGAUG